rnacentral:rRNA from 1 species
UACGUAGGGUGCGAGCGUUGCCCGGAUUUAUUGGGCGUAAAGGGCGCGUAGGCGGCUACGCACGUCCGUUGUGAAAUCGCUCGGCUCAACUGGGCGGGGUCAGCGGAUACGGUGUAGCUGGAGCAAGCUAGGGAACACGGAAUUCCUGGUGUAGCGGUGAAAUGCGCAGAUAUCAGGAGGAACACCGAUGGCGAAGGCAGUGUUCUGGGCCAGUACUGACGCUGAGGAGCGAAAGCGUGGGGAGCAAACAGG